rnacentral:rRNA from 1 species
UACGGAGGAUCCGAGCGUUAUCCGGAUUUAUUGGGUUUAAAGGGUGCGUAGGCGGCUUUUUAAGUCAGGGGUGAAAGACGGCAGCUCAACUGUCGCAGUGCCUUUGAUACUGAAGAGCUUGAAUGCACUUGAAGUAGGCGGAAUGUGACAAGUAGCGGUGAAAUGCAUAGAGAUCCGGAAGAACACCGGUGGCGAAGGCGGUCUGCUGGGGUAAUGCUGACACUGAUGCGCGACAGCGUGGGGAGCAAACAGG